rnacentral:rRNA from 1 species
CUACGGGCGGCAGCAGUGGGGAAUCUUAGACAAUGGGCGCAAGCCUGAUCUAGCCAUGCCGCGUGAGUGACGAAGGCCUUAGGGUCGUAAAGCUCUUUCGCUGGGGAAGAUAAUGACGGUACCCAGUAAAGAAACCCCGGCUAACUCCGUGCCAGCAGCCGCGGUAAUACGGAGGGGGUUAGCGUUGUUCGGAAUUACUGGGCGUAAAGCGCGCGUAGGCGGAUCAGAAAGUUGGGGGUGAAAUCCCGGGGCUCAACCCCGGAACUGCCUUCAAAACUCCUGGUCUUGAGUUCGAGAGAGGUGAGUGGAAUUCCGAGUGUAGAGGUGAAAUUCGUAGAUAUUCGGAGGAACACCAGUGGCGAAGGCGGCUCACGGGCUCGAUACUGACGCUGAGGUGCGAAAGCGUGGGGAGCAAACAGGAUUAGAUACCCCCGUAGUC